GUGACGAAGGCAACAUCAUCGUUUGGAAAGCGUCGCAAUAAGACGCACACGUGCCACUGCUGUGGCUCUAAGGCCUACCACCUUCAGAAGUUGACCUGUGGCAAAUGUGGCUACCCCGCCAAGCGCAAGAGAAAGUAUAACGGCAGUGCCAAGGCUAAAAGACAAAAUACCACUGGGACUGGUCGAAUGAGGCACCUAAAAAUUGUAGACCGCAGAUUCAGGCACAGAUUCCGUGAAGGAACACCACCUAAACCCAAGAGGGCAGCUGCUGCAGCAUCCAGUUCAUCUU
rnacentral:lncRNA from 1 species